rnacentral:rRNA from 1 species
GAGUUUGAUCCUGGCUCAGGAUGAACGCUAGCGGCAGGCUUAAUACAUGCAAGUCGAACGGUAAAUAGUGUAGCAAUACAUUAUGAGAGUGACGUACGGGUGCGUAACACGUAUGCAACCUACCCAAAACAGGAGUAUAGCUCGGGGAAACUCGAAUUAACCCUCCAUAGUAUAUCUGAAUGGCAUCAUUUGGAUAUUAAAACUCAGGUGGUUUUGGAUGGGCAUGCGUCUGAUUAGUUAGUUGGCGGGGUAACGGCCCACCAAGACGAUGAUCAGUAGGGGAACUGAGAGGUUGAUCCCCCACACUGGCACUGAGAUACGGGCCAGACUCCUACGGGAGGCAGCAGUAGGGAAUAUUGGUCAAUGGGUGCAAGCCUGAACCAGCCAUGCCGCGUGCAGGAAGAAGGCCUUCUGGGUUGUAAACUGCUUUUGCCAGGGGAUAAAAUGGGAGUGCGCUCCUAAUUGAAGGUACCUGGUGAAUAAGCCACGGCUAACUACGUGCCAGCAGCCGCGGUAAUACGUAGGUGGCAAGCGUUGUCCGGAUUUAUUGGGUUUAAAGGGUGCGUAGGCGGUCUAUUAAGUCAGUGGUGAAAUAUGGCAGCUCAACUGUCAAGGUGCCAUUGAUACUGAUGGACUUGAGUGAAGUCGAGGUUGGCGGAAUUGACGGUGUAGCGGUGAAAUGCUUAGAUAUCGUCAAGAACACCGAUAGUGAAGACAGCUAACUAGGCUUAUACUGACGCUGAGGCACGAAAGUGUGGGGAUCAAACAGGAUUAGAUACCCUGGUAGUCCACACUGUAAACGUUGAUUACUCGCUGUUGGCGAUACACAGCCAGCG